UGCAAGAAUCUGAAGUUAAUCCAAGUGCACCAGACAAACCCCAGCGCAGAAGAGAAAGAGAAAGAUCCCACAGAGGGGAGUGAAGAAAGCCAGCAGCUAGCUUUAUUUGUUGGCCCUCAAGCCCUGCAAGCUGGGAACCAAGACCUUCACAGUUUCUCCCCCUUCGUCUCUCUCCAAACUCAAUCCCACAUCCAUGUCCAUGUUGAGAACCAGCUAAGCCCCUGCUAGGGUUUGCUCAGUUUGGGAAGGUGGGAUGGGGUUUCCCGCAGUGGGUGGUGAGUUUGCACCACAAAAAGUGCCUCCUUUGGGUGAUAUUUUAAUGCCUAUUUGCUUUUGAGUAAGGAAAUCCUCCUCCUCUUCCUCCUCUUCCUCUUCCUCCUCCUCCAGGGCUAUAAAACUUCUACACCUCAACCGUAGUCCCUCAUCUUCUCCUCCACUUUCUCUUUGCAUCUUUUUCUUCAGAGAUCAGGUGGCAUUGGGUUUGCAGAUCCAGUGGUGUUUCUUUGUAUCCAUGGGGAGAGUUUUAUGGGGCUUCAUUCUCGUUGAGAGGAAGAAGAGAUGACAAAGGGUUGUUCUCUCUACUCUCUUUCUUUCACCCAUGCAGAGAAGAACAGGUGAUGGUGGGAAGAGUACAGGUGAAAUGGGUUGUGCCUGGCUCCCUGUAUGCCACACGUAUAGACCAAUCCUUGGAGUGAUUGGCUACUGUGGGUGGCGUGCAAGGAGCCAAGCAUGAAACCUUCUCUCUCUCUCUCUCUCUCUCUCUCUCUCUCUCUCUCUCUCUCUCUCUCUCUCUCUCUCUAUGCAUGAUCUUGCAGUCAUUUUAUGUAAGAGAUCAUAUACUUUAAGUUUGAUCUCGAUGAAGGUUUCAUUCUUUUGCAGGUCUAGUCACCAACCUCACGACGGAGAGAGAGAGAGAGAGAGAGAGAGAGAGAGAGAGAGUCUAAGAUUGGUGUUCUUCUGCUCACUACAAGUCGUGCUCAUGACACAGAAGUGGGUCUCAGUUUCUUGCAUUACAUGAACAUGGAUGAAACCAAGGAAUCCACGACAUGGAUUUGGAUCCAGCAGCCUUGACAAUUUCAGAUGUGUCAGCCCCCCCAAGUAGUCUUUCACUUCUACGGAUCUCCUUAAAGAACAACAACAUGAUCACGAGCAAGAAUGCUCUGUAACAUCUCAAAUCUCUCCCUUCUCUUUCUGGUCUUUCUGCUGAACUUGCUCAAAUGACGUCCGCAUCAUUCGCUGCAAGAGUUGGGAGCUCCCAUCUCCUCUCAUGCAGUCAGUUGAUCAUCACACCGACAUCUCCUACACCCAGUGAUAUCAACAACAGCUUCGCUGUUCUCAACAACUCCUCCAUCUUACAACGAAGCCACAAUCGAGUUCAACGAUCAAACACGAGUUCAAAGCUCAAUUUGACGCCUCAAUCUGAAACCAUUCCGUUCCAAGUCUCUCUUCAGGUGUUCUUCUAGUGGUCUACUGCUGUUCGUUCUCUCUCAUUAUCUCUUGCAUGGUGGAGCACAGCAGCUCCCUCCGCUGGGUUGGAGGGGCUUCUAUACCACCAUACUUUUAUGCCUUGCUUUUGUUGGUGGCAGUGCAAGCAAGAAGAGAGCCCAAGUGUUUUGGCUCAGAGGGUUGCCAGCUUUCUACCCUUCCGAGGUCUGAGCAGCUUUGUGUGACAUCCAAAGGGAAUUUUCAAGGUUAGGGAAGGAAGCCCAUCCGUCAUCAAGUACUCCGAAACCCUAUUUCCCUGUCUCCAAGACAUACAUGUAAUAUAAUAUACACAACACACACACACAUCUCCAUCACACAGUCUCUUCCUUCUUCUUCUUCUUGCUAAUCGAUCUGUCAUACUGCGACUCUGCUCGUUCCCUCCACAUGCUUACACCAAAGCUUACAUACAAAUGGUGCAGAGAGAAUGGAGCAGCUCGACUGGACUACUCUCCUCAACUUGAGGUCACAUGCACAUCUUAAAGCACCGAGGAUCUCCAUGGACAGGGACUUCUCCUGCAGGAUCCAAGAUCUGAGGUCAAUAAUGUUCUGAUGAUGCAGUACAAGCUCCUCAGAUGGAAUAUAUUCCACAUGAUGCUUGAGGCUGUGAUGUACUUAGGAAGAUGCACAAGCAUUCUAUGAGUGUAACUACAUCAACAUGUAGAUUUCUCGGAAGAGGUCCAGCCGAGACCGUGUGAAGAUGAACAGAAAAACAUCAGUCAUCAAAGCAUCCUAAAGAAUUUUGGGAUAGCAUUUCGAUGCAUACCUUACAGCCGAUAUCACCUGAUUAAUCUAAUCUUAGAUUCUUUGUCA